AAGGGGGAAAGAAAUGUUCAGUCUUCGGUUUCGUCAUGCUUCUUCUUAUUCCCUUUGCAUUACAAGUUGAAGUGUUCUCCACUGCAGAAGUGUCGUGUGUUAAAAAUAUUAAGAAAUCAAAUAAUUCAAUAAUUACGUUCCGGGCCAUAUUGGAAUAUAAAAAAAGACUGCAGUAAUGGCCAAUAUAUUGGAUGCAAUUUCCCAAGUGACUAAAACUGAGCCUCCAGAGAAGAUACUGCGCAAUAAAUUUGGUCUUCAUGAAUAGAAAGCGGAACACCAAGGAUCAAA